UUCGGAGAGUUUGAUCCUGGCUCAGGAUGAACGCUGGCGGCGUGCCUAAUACAUGCAAGUCGAGCGAACUGAUUAGAAGCUUGCUUCUAUGACGUUAGCGGCGGACGGGUGAGUAACACGUGGGCAACCUGCCUGUAAGACUGGGAUAACUUCGGGAAACCGAAGCUAAUACCGGAUAGGAUCUUCUCCUUCAUGGGAGAUGAUUGAAAGAUGGUUUCGGCUAUCACUUACAGAUGGGCCCGCGGUGCAUUAGCUAGUUGGUGAGGUAACGGCUCACCAAGGCAACGAUGCAUAGCCGACCUGAGAGGGUGAUCGGCCACACUGGGACUGAGACACGGCCCAGACUCCUACGGGAGGCAGCAGUAGGGAAUCUUCCGCAAUGGACGAAAGUCUGACGGAGCAACGCCGCGUGAGUGAUGAAGGCUUUCGGGUCGUAAAACUCUGUUGUUAGGGAAGAACAAGUAC
rnacentral:rRNA from 1 species